UACCUACGGGACGCAGCAGUGAGGAAUAUUGGUCAAUGGCCGGAAGGCUGAACCAGCCAAGCCGCGUGAAGGACGAAGGUGCCAAGCAUUGUAAACUUCUUUUGUCAAGGGACAAAAUCAGGCUCGAGAGCCUGACCGAGGGUACUUGAAGAAAAAGCAUCGGCUAACUCCGUGACGGCAGCCGCGGUAAUACGGAGGAUGCGAGCGUUAUCCGGAUUUAUUGGGUUUAAAGGGUGCGUAGGCGGACUGUUAAGUCAGCGGUAAAACUCCGGGGCACAACCCCGGCGCGCCGUUUAAACUGGCUG
rnacentral:rRNA from 1 species